rnacentral:rRNA from 1 species
CAAGUCAAGCGGAGUAGCAAUACUCAGCGGCGAACGGGUGAGUAACACGUGGGUAAUCUUCCUCCGAAUCUGGGAUAACUUUCCGAAAGGAAAGCUAAUACCGGAUAGUUCUAUUGGAUCACAGGAUUUGAUAGAUAAAGGUUUACUGUUCGGAGAUGAGCCCGCGGCCGAUUAGCUAGUUGGUGAGGUAAUGGCUCACCAAGGCGACGAUCGGUAGCCGGCCUGAGAGGGUGUCCGGCCACAAUGGAACUGAGACACGGUCCAUACUCCUACGGGAGGCAGCAGGUUAAG